rnacentral:rRNA from 1 species
GUGGGGAAUAUUGGGCAAUGGGGGAAACCCUGAUCUAGCCAUGCCGCGUGAGCGAUGAAGGCCUUAGGGUUGUAAAGCUCUUUCAGCUGGGAAGAUAAUGACGGUACCAGCAGAAGAAGCCCCGGCUAACUCCGUGCCAGCAGCCGCGGUAAUACGGAGGGGGCUAGCGUUGUUCGGAAUUACUGGGCGUAAAGCGCGCGUAGGCGGACCAGAAAGUUGGAGGUGAAAUCCCAGGGCUCAACCUUGGAACUGCCUUCAAAACUCCUGGUCUGGAGUUCGAGAGAGGUGAGUGGAAUUCCGAGUGUAGAGGUGAAAUUCGUAGAUAUUCGGAGGAACACCAGUGGCGAAGGCGGCUCACUGGCUCGAUACUGACGCUGAGGUGCGAAAGCGUGGGGAGCAAACAGGAUUAGAUACCCGGGUAGUCC